GCCGGUGUAGCUCAAUUGGUAGAGCAACUGACUUGUAAUCAGUAGGUUGGGAGUUCAAGUCUUCUCGCCGGCA
rnacentral:tRNA from 2 species